GAUGAACGCUAGCGGCAGGCCUAAUACAUGCAAGUCGAACGGUGUCUUCGGACAUAAUGGCGCACGGGUGCGUAACACGUAUGCAACCUACCUUACAUUGGGGGAUAGCCUUUCGAAAGGGAGAUUAAUACCGCAUAAGACAGUAACUAGGCAUCUAGUAGCUGUUAAAGAUUUAUCGAUGUAAGCUGGGCAUGCGUCCAAUUAGCUAGUUGGUGAGGUAACGGCUCACCAAGGAAAUGAUUGGUGGGGGAACUGAGAGGUCAAUCCCCCACACUGGCACUGAGAUACGGGCCAGACUCCUACGGGAGGCAGCAGUAGGGAAUAUUGGGCAAUGGACGCAAGUCUGACCCAGCCAUGCCGCGUGCAGGAUGAAGGCGUUAUGCGUUGUAAACUGCUUUUAUACAGGAAGAAACGACUCUUGCGAGAGGCAUUGACGGUACUGUAUGAAUAAGCACCGGCUAACUCCGUGCCAGCCGCCGCCGUAAGAC
rnacentral:rRNA from 1 species